CGGAACCUUAAUUGUGCUGCAUUUUAAAACUUUAAUAAAUCAAUAGAUUAAGAAACUUCUCCGGAUCUAUAAAAUCAUCGCAGCAGAAUGUAACAGUUCGUGUUUAGUGUUGAUCAUCGGUGUUGGUUUCGUUCUGGUGGGUUCAGGUUCAACCUGCAGACCAAGAGAAUACACAGCCAGGGACGGACAAUGCUGCCCGAUGUGUAAAAAAGGUGAUGAUUUCCUGUUGCUGUUCCAUCUGUGAGAUGGUGUCUGUCGUUAAAGAAAACUCCUGCUGUGAUUUAAAAAAAAUGAACCUCCGAGGAAGUAAAGUAGCAACUGCCUUUCUGCUGAUGAUUUUAAUUCCAUCUAUGAAUUGUAGCCUCAAGAGAUGUCAUAUUACAGAGUACAAAGUUGGACACGGAUGCUGCACUGUGUGCCCUACUGGUAAG